UCCCUGGUGGCUCAGACAGUAAAGCAUCUGCCUGCAAUGCAGGAGACCCAGGUUCGAUCCCUGGGUUGGGAA
rnacentral:tRNA from 1 species